AGUGAACGCUGGCGGUAGGCCUAACACAUGCAAGUCGAACGGCAGCACAGUAAGAGCUUGCUCUUACGGGUGGCGAGUGGCGGACGGGUGAGGAAUACAUCGGAAUCUACUUUUUCGUUGGGGAUAACGUAGGGAAACUUACGCUAAUACCGCAUACGACCUACGGGUGAAAGCAGGGGAUCUUCGGACCUUGCGCGAUUGAAUGAGCCGAUGUCGGAUUAGCUAGUUGGCGGGGUAAAGGCCCACCAAGGCGACGAUCCGUAGCUGGUCUGAGAGGAUGAUCAGCCACACUGGAACUGAGACACGGUACAGACUCCUACGGGAGGCAGCAGUGGGGAAUAUUGGACAAUGGGCGCAAGCCUGAUCCAGCCAUACCGCGUGGGUGAAGAAGGCCUUCGGGUUGUAAAGCCCUUUUGUUGGGAAAGAAAAGCAGCAGGUUAAUACCCCGCUGUUCUGACGGUACCCAAAGAAUAAGCACCGGCUAACUUCGUG
rnacentral:rRNA from 1 species